AGCAGCCGCGGUAAUUCCAGCUCCAAUAGCGUAUAUUAAAGUUGUUGCAGUUAAAAAGCUCGUAGUUGAAUUUCGGGAUUGACACAUCGGUCGUGCCUUAAGGGGUAUGAACUGGUGUAGUCAAUUUCUCACCUUCUGGAGAACCGCGAUGCCCUUAAUUGGGUGUCGCGGGGAACCAGGACCUUUACUUUGAAAAAAUUAGAGUGUUUAAAGCAGGCAUUUUGCUUGAAUACAUUAGCAUGGAAUAAUAAAAUAGGACGGCAUGAUUCUAUUUUGUUGGUUUCUAGGAUCACCGUAAUGAUUAAUAGGGAUAGUUGGGGGCAUUAGUAUUCAAUUGUCAGAGGUGAAAUUCUUGGAUUUAUUGAAGACUAACUACUGCGAAAGCAUUUGCCAAGGAUGUUUUCAUUAAUCAAGAACGAAAGUUAGGGGACCGAAGACGAUCAGAUACCGUCGUAGUCUUAACCAUAAACUAUGCCGACUAGGAAUCAGACGAUGUUAAUUUUUUAAUGACUCGUUUGG
rnacentral:misc_RNA from 1 species